rnacentral:lncRNA from 1 species
UACUGUUUACUAUAACUCCUUUCAGUCGAUAAAUAACAGUGAUAAUAAAGCUACCACACUCUAAAAUGUACAUUGAAAGAAAUGUUAUUAUUGCCUGAGAAUUUAUUGAAUAAAGGAAAGCAGUAACAUUAGCAUGCUAGAGCUAACACAAUGAAGAAAAUUGAACGAAUUUGUAAUUUAUCAAGUCAUACUGUUUGAUAGUCUCUAUUCUGGAGAAGUCCAAGUGUAGAAAGCCUUGCCACAUAUGGACGUAUCACUUCCAAUAGCCGUUUGUUAAUAUCAACAGCUUCUUUCCCCAAUGCAACCUAGGAACAUUUCAUAGAAUAUGUCAAAUUCAUUGGUAAAUACAAAUAUCCAACAAUAAUUUUUUAAAGAGCCACAGCAGACCAUACCUCAAUUAGUUCAAUCUUUCUGUCAUGAACAUAUGGAAUAACAUCAGGAUCACUUUCAUUACGAUAUUCAAGAGCUGAUAUCUGUAAGUUAUCAAUGAUAUGCUGGACAGCCGGCUGUUUUGCUAAACAAUUUGCAUUUAACAUAAGAGUUUUCAGAUGUCGUGGCUACUUUUAUAAUGAACCUAAUUAGAUUAUUUGUAACUUACAUCCUGGAGUCGCAGUCAAUGCUAAUAUUCUCAGUUGCACUGGUAUGGCCAACAACUACAAAACAAGAUUAUCAAAUAGUAUCUCAAACCAGUAAUUUAUUGCCAGUAACAACAAAAACUAAAGAAAAUAGAGCAACAAACCUCGCGAAUUGCUACACAGUAAGAAUAAUUUCCUGAUGCUCUAUGAGCCUCAUCAAUUACCAAACAAACCAAGUGUUUUGCCAGACAUGUUCCUGAAAGUUGCUCCGUGUGAGAAAACUAUUGAUGGAAUAAACGAAAGAAAUACAAUGCAACGACAGCUGGAAAUCUCAGGACAUAUAUUUUCACAUAUUCUGUAUGAAAAAAAAAAAAAACAAAGUCUUCCAUCUUCCUUAACAAAAUUCUUAUUCACUCGAAAAAUUCACAUAUCAUAACCAUUUUAUGUUCACAUAGUUUCCAUGUAAAAUAUAUUAAGGUGUAACCUUUUUGUAGUUAGGAGUAUUAUGGCGUUACUAAGAAUAUUACCAGAUUGAAUAUCCUUUUCCAGCACUUGUGGAGUAACAAAGAAAACUCGUUUAGUUUUCCAAAAACAUGCCCUUUUUGUAGGGCAUACCUGGCCGGUCAUAUCAAUUGUCCACUCCUGCAAUCAGUUUAUUACAAUAACCGUGACAAACUAAAGUUCCCAACCGAAAACCAAUAUGUAAGCAAAGCAUUCCAUUGACAACUAAAUUCAACAUCUUACUUGUGGUAUCCCCACAAUAUUAUGGCAUGCUUCUAUUUGUUGCAUCACAAGCGGUCGAGAAGGAGCAGCAAAAACUAUUUUACCUGCAAUGAAAUACGAAUACACAUCAUACCUAUCAAACAUUCAAACCUAUCAAACAUAGGACGCCCACGGCAUUAACUGCUUUCAAGUUAACUCAUUGUACUAAUUCACUCACCACUAGAUUUUUUCCCUAACCCAUAGCCUUCCAUCAAAUCUACAAGAUAUGAUGAAACAUCCAUGCAAUUGAUAGUAAAAACCAAAUUAAAUUGUAUUGAAUUGACAAAAGAUCAAUCUGAUAACAAUUAUUUUAAUUAUAAAAUAAACCGAAUUAAAUUAUUUUAUUUUAAUAAUAAACCGAACCCGAUUGAAUCGAUUAACCAACACAUUUUAUGGUUCAAACUAUAGUUGGGUUCUAAUAAAAAAUUGUGCAUUUACUGAAGCAUCCGUGUGGAGAGAUUUACCAUCAGGAAACCAUCUGAAGUAGUUAUACAUAACAACAGCAGCAAUAAGCGUCUUUCCGAGCCCAGUUGGCAAUGCAACCAAUGUGUUUGUAAAUAAUGCGGUCUUUGUUAUAGCUAAUUGAUAUUCCCGGAGAGGUACAUUGACUGUAAUAUAAGAAUCGAUAGCCAUAUUUAUCAUCCAGAAAAUAAAAUAAAAAAAUCUCUAAAAACAAUAAAAUUAUUCCUUCAAAACCCAAAAUUUCACAAACACCUUUUUUGCCUAAACCCCCCUAAAUUAAUAGAAGAAGCAUUGAAAGAGAAAAGGUGUUAAAGACCUGGGUAAAUCCAAGUUUUAGCUGCCUCGGCAUCAAUCUCAACGCAACACGGCCUCCCAUCACUGUUGAAGAUGCCAUUACCCUGAUGAUGUCGGACCUCAACCGUUGGCUUCACCGGCGGAUUCGCUCUGCCAAUAAACUUAUCGAGCGUGGAUUGCUUGGAAGUCGCAGUCUUUGUACAUGAAUAAUAAGAAGAAUUAUUAAGAAUAUUAACGGGAGGGGUAAAAUUGGAAGAAGAAGCUUGAUUAAUUGUAGUAGAUGAAGGGUUAUUUGCUCUUUCACAAGCGGAAUCGAUUUCUCUGACUGCUGCCUCCCAAUCAAAUUCCUGCAAGCAACAGAGUGAGUGAAGUUAGAGAGAGAGAAUUUAGUGAAAGAUUGAUUGCUGGAUUGGAGGUUUAAGGAAACAGAAUUGAAGAAGUUACGUCGUCGUCGUCGAUUAUUUGGAAAGGAACUGUUGAUUUCAUUUUCAAAUUCACAACAAUCUUUGUUUUUUUUUUUGGAUUUGGAUUUGGCAGAGAGAUGCAGAGAAAGGGAGGAAGGUGAUUGAUUGGCGGCAAAACUUGAAAAGUUAAUUUUAGCUUCAGCUUGUAGGUGUAUGUACGAGAUUCUGUUUUAUUAUAAUAUUUUUAUUUUUAAUUUAAAUUUAUUAAAAAAUAUUUUUUUGAUAUUUUUUAAAAGUAAAUAAAUCAUGUUUGAAAAUAUGUUAAAGUUGUGUUUUGAGUUGUUUUUUUACUCGAAAAUAUUUAAAUAAUUUUUUAUUUUUUAAAAUUUAUUUUUUACAUCAACACUUUAAAAUAAUAAAAAAACUAAAAAAAUUAAUUUUAAACAAUUUUUUUUUCAAAUUUUAAACUAACAACGUUUUAACUGCAUUAUCAAACACACCGAUAAAAAACACUUUCCUGUGUUUUUGUGUUUAAAAAUAUUUUUGAAAAAAUUUAAACUAUUUUUUAUUUUUUUUUCUUUGUUUCAAAUUAAUAUUUUUUUAGUGCUUUUAGAUCAUUUUGAUGCGCUGAUGUCAAAAAUAAUUUUUAAAAAUAAAAAAAAAAUAUUUUGAUAUAUUUCCCAAUAAAAGCACUUUGAAAAGCAACAGCAACCACACUCUCAAACAUACUCAGUUCUAAAGAUGAUCUUUAGUAUAUUACAAUCCUAAAGAUGAUCUUUAGUAUAUCACAUAACAGCUAGUUAUUUAAGUCCAAGAUAUAUAUUUUAAUUUAUAAAAUAAAAUUUUUUAAAAAUAUAAAAUUAUAAUUUUUACGUCAAGCUAUAAUUUUAUAAUUUUUCCUAUUUGAUUCCAAAUCACAAUGACAUAAACCCAAAAUCACAUGUAAAAUAUGCAAGAAUGUGUGUGUGUUAAAGAGAUGCUGAUAACCGAAAGAUAAGUCUUUUUCCUAUUUGUUUUUGUGUCUCUCUCUGAAUCAGGAAAUAUAAAAGUGUUGAAGGUAGGGUUUUGUUCAUAUGGUCGGCGUAUUAAUGGGCUUUAUAUUUCCUGAAUAGUUGAUUUCAGAACCAUAAUUAUAUUUCCUGAAUAGUUGAUUUAGAACCCUAAUUUCUAAUUUUUAACACUUUCAGCCAACAACUAGGGUUUGCCCCUAUUCUACAACCCCGCCCGAGAGAAUACUUUGGAGAUUGCAAGUAUAAAUAAAGUCUGUCUUUAUUGGAACUUUUGUUAACUUCUACUUUGUUUAUUUAGGUGCCUGAAAUCCUAUUUUAAAUUUACAAUGGCCGUGCAGCUGUCAGACGACAUGAUAAUUGAAAUUCUAUGUCGAUUACCAGUAAAGAUGGUGAUGAGAUUGAAUGCUGUAUCAAAAGCAUGGCAUCGUCUCAUAUCUAAUGUUUGUGCCUCGCUAUUCUCGGCCGCGGCGGCGGCCCAUCCUUCAGGCUUUUUGUUCCUCUGUUCUUUUCAAAAAAUUGGUGGGUUGGGAUACUUUGCUGCGUAUGCUAGCUAUCCCGAUGUUCAUGAUUGCUUGCGUGGGCCAGACCGAUGGAUUUGUGGAUUCGUAUGCUUGUAUGUUGCCCUUCAUGCUUUCUUCUGAUCAUUAUUUUGAUUGUUGUAAUGGGUUGCUCUUGUUUGUUAGAAGAGAGCAACGAGAGGCUCUUCCGCAUUAUUAUUUUGUUUGCAACACCACUACCAGACAAUGCAUUGCAAUUCCUAAUCCCCGUCCACGAACUGCUCCAUUCGCCGCUGCAAUUGCCUAUGAUCCUGCCAAAUCUCCUCACUACAAAGUUGUUCGCUUUAUUUAUUUUGAAGAAAAAAACUUCUUGCCCGGUAAAGGUGGAUAUAUUUUCUUCCGAUACCGGAAAGUGGGUUAGGCGCCGGGUCAUGUUAUCCACCGAACUUCCUCAUGCUGCUGCUGAUGCAGAUGAGUAUGGUUGUAUCAGGCGUUCUAUUUAUUUGGAUGGAAUGAUUUACAAGCUAUCCUUUGUCGUCAACUACCUCAUCAGGUUUGACUUAAAUGCGCCGAGCGAUGUGGCUAUUGAACUCCCGCACAAGAAUGCCGCUGACCGCCAUGGAUUCAUUGGGAUGUCUAGAGGAAGCUUGUAUUAUUCAUAUCAUGACGAGUCUGGAUUGAUGAUCUCCAUUUGGCUUUUGGAAGACCGUUGCAAACGUGAUCCUUUUUGGAAACUCACACAUCGCAUCUCAGUGGACUCCUUGACGUCCAAAUAUCCUGACGUGCGUAAUUCAGGCUUUCAUUUUCAUACAUAUGCUAUUCAUCCAGCUUCUGAUAUUAUUUUUCUUGGAAACCCUACCAUGGUCAUAAGUUACGAUCUUAAAUCCAACAAAUCCGAAGAGGUUUUUACAUUGUCUAGCGGAUUAAAAAUAUCAUCGGGCCAGCAUUUUGUACACCUCUACUCUCCCUGUUAUGCUGUUUUGAGUAAUUUUGAUAAUAAUUGUGGUUAAUAGUCCAGUUGUAAGCAAUCUUUUUAUAAAAACUAUUUAUCCGUGCUCUCUGAGAUGGCUAGUUAUGGAAUCCAAAACUUCAGGAAAGCUGUUUUACAUUGAUGCUCUGUAUUCUAUUUUUUGAAUUGACGUGCUGGUUUGAUUAAUUUGUUGUAAACUAAAACUGCUAAUUCUUUGCUUAAUUUGUUGUUUAAGAUACAAACUUUUUCGGCAUUUGUUUUCUUCUUUCUUUCUUUCUUUGCUUUUUAUUUAACAGAUUGCUAAUGAAAAAGAUAUGGGGUAAGAACAAGUGUAUACUUUUUUAAGGUUGUUGCCGGGAUCAGGCCAAAUGGGGGAUUUUGGGGUUAGUUCUACAAAAUCAAUGGGAUUAAUGGAGGCUUGGAAAAAAGUGAGUAAUUCUUUAGUACAUAGGAAAACAAUUUUCACAUCUAGUUAAUUCUUUCUUGUGAUUUGCAGUCUUUAAUUUUUUAAUGUUUCUGUUUUUCGUUCUUAUUUCCUUUUUUUUUUUAGUUCAAAAAUCUUGGGUAUCUUAAUGGAUAACACUAUGUUCAAGCAUCAUUUGUUCCAAUAAAUGUAAAAAGAAAAAAAACAAGUCAUUAACGAUAACUAAAGACUAAACUGAAGAAAUCAAGAGAUAUAUAUAGAUUAAGAUAUUUAAUUUAGUAACGCAAGAUAACUAAUUGAGACAGAUGAUUGGAAUUUCACCAUGUCACGUUUUAGAAACACCCUAUUUACUAAAUGUAGUUAUUCAUAAAAGCGACAACUAUCUUUUUAUUGUUCAGAAUAACAAUAUUUUGUAAAUGUCAUGCUUUUAAAUCGUGACAGGGUGAAAAUAUACUAUUUCACAAAAUCUUUUUUGAACGGUGUUAUUCGUCAUGUUUUUACUAUCAUUGUGCUAAUUGUUUUUUUUUAAUAAAAAAAAAAACUUGAAAGGGAAGAAGAGAAGCAUAAUUGAAAAUUCGAACUUCUCGGCGUUCCUUAAUAUUCCUAGAUGCCCCCAUUAAUCGCCCUUAUUGAAUGCUAUUAUGCAAAAAUGAAUGCAUUUAUUGUAGCAGGCCAGCCACUCAAGUUAAGUUCCGUGGCAAUGAAAUUGAGAAAUGUAUUGGACUCUGCUUUGAAGGGAAAGGAUGUUGAUCCUCAAAUUGUAUGGACGGACUUUGAAAUAGUGAAUGGAAAUGCAAGAAUCAAAGAGAAGUCAACAGGUGCCAGUAACGAAAAGUCAAUAGAUGCAGCAGCCUUUUUCCUGUAAUCGGCAGUAAAAGGAACUCAUAAGCAUCAAAUAAAAAGCUAAGGGAUCGAAAUGAAACUCGAACUUUUAGUCUUUUUCAUGAAGAGCCACGGGUUUUUAGUCCUUCUCAUUUCCCCAUCUCAAACUUUUAUUUUGCAUUGUUUGGUUUUGUUAGUCCAAAUUAACCUUCCAUUGCAUUUUUUUGUCUAGGAGAGAGGGCUGAAUUGAAAGCUAAGGGAUUGAAAUGAAACUCUUAGAUAACAUGGAGGGCAAGAUGAAAGUCUUGUUGAAACACUCAUUUUAAUUCUUUAUAUUUUUUAAAUAUUAGAUGACCAACCCCUUGAAUUUGAAGACAAUACAUUUCCGUACCUAUCUUCAUUUUUCUCCUUUUUCAGUCCUUUUUUGUUGGGAGAACAGAGAGAGAGAGUCGUCGGAUUCAGGCUUAAACAGAAAAAGUGGUCACCGAGGAAGAUUUUGGCCACCAUUACGGUUGAUUUUUGUGUCAAAAUAUUUUAUAUGAUAAGGGGGGUUACGUUUAGGUGUUUGUUUACCUUGAAAACAAAAACAACAUAUCUAAGCUCGAGAAUAAUUUUUGUUUCGGGUAGAUUUCGGGUUUUGGGGCAUUUAAUUGGCUUUUUGAUUGGCAUAAAUUGGUUUAACAAGGUCUCUAGGGUGUUUUCUAGGUGUUCUGAGUUAAAAAUGGGUUAAAAAUAAGAUUUUGAGUAGGGGUGUGCAUUUUUGGUUCGGUCCGGUUUUGAGCCAAAAUAAAUAACCAAACCAAAAUUAUUUUUUUCAAGUUUUUGAACCGAACCGAAAACCGGUUCGAACCAAUCAUGUUCGGUUCAGUUUGGUUCGGUUUUUUUUCCUUCCAAACCGGUUCGUCUUAUUUCUAUUUUCAUAGUUUUGUGCCUAUUUUCUGAUAAAUCUUGGUUUUCUCAACAAGCUAAACAAGAUAAUAUCAAGAAAUCCAACCCCAAUUUUCUUUUUGUUAGAUCCUUGCUCAAAAAUUAAUCUCUGCGCAAAAGAUACACAAAACAAAAGGAAAGAAAAGAAGCCAUUUGACUGGAAAAAAAAAAAGUGAAAAUCAAAAGAUAUGAAUUAUUCAAAUGUAAAACCAGAACGAGAGGAAACCAAUUGCAAAUUUUUACAUAGAUCCACACCAUCUAUUGAGUGUGUGGUGUUUUUAUGCUCGGUUUCUUCAAUAAAUAACCAAACUCGAUGUCCAAUCUUCAACUGGUUUGACAUAACAAAUCUUCUCACAAUACCAACAUCAAGAAAAUCAAAGAAAAACCUUUUACUAGUUUGACAUAACAAUCUUCUUUAUGGGUAUGAAAAAUGACAUAACAAGUACAAGGUUAAAAGCAAAUGUAAAAGUAAAGAAAGACGUGCCUGAACUAAAAGAAUUAAAAUCAGAAGUAAAGAAAGGUGUGAUAGGAGGACAAAUGAGCAUGGAGCAAUAGGAGCCUAACAAUUCCUAACAAUUAUGGGAUGUGGAGUACAGAGGAAAAUCAGAGAGAAGAGAGAGUGAGAGACGCAGAGAGCAAAGGGAGGGGUGACUGUCUUUAGAGAAUGUUACUUUAGGUUUAGGGUUACAAAAAAAUAUCUUAUUUAUCCUUGUUUUUUUUAAGUGCUGGCCUGGUUGAACCGGUUCGGUUCAAUCGAUUUCAGACUUUGAAAACCGAAACCAAACCAAACCGGAUUUUUUUGUGAUUUUUAAUCGGUUAAUUCAGUUUUUUUUUUGUUUUUUCAGUUUAAUCAGUUAUUCGAUUUUUUUGCUCACCCUUAAUUUUGAGUAGAAAAAACAAAGGACCUUGAUUUUUCGGGCACCAUAGUGUCUGAAUACUGGGUUUCCCAGUCGACGCAUCCUCUUUUUUUGAAAUAUUUGGGGUGGAUCACAAUGCAUUGCCCGCCCUAUUAAACCUUCUUUUAAAAAAUAAAGGCUCAUGCUUGGGCCUAACUUUGCAUGCCCGCCCACAUGUUGUUGCUUUAUUGGGUUGGCCUUGGGUUUGGCUUACCAAGCCCAACAACGCCAGACCUUUUUCUGUUUUUAUUCUUCUUUUUUUUAUUUUUAAUUCAUUUUUUUUUAUUAUGUUUUGAUGUUUGUUCCUGUGAUUGUUUUUAUUUUUUUCCUUGAAUAUUUUAUGAAAGUUUCAUUAUUUUCAGUUUUACCUUUCAAUCCAAGUUUAUAGUGUAUUUUUUUCUUUGUCCUUUUGAUUUUUGUCAUUUUGUUAUGUUUUUAUUCUUUUCAAUUUAACUCUCAAAUGAAAAAUUUGUUGUUGCCUUUUUAUUUAGUUUUUAUUGCAAUUUUAACAUUCAUUAUUUUUAUUAUAUUUUUUAUUUUGGAUUUUUUUGUGUUGUUUUUUUGUGUUUUUAACCCUCAUGAUUUUUUUGUAUAUAGUGCUUUCAGUAUUAUAACCUGAGUCAUGGUUUAAAAAGUUAACACUAAUUGACUUUUUUGUUUUAUUUUUUAUAUUCUUUUUUUUAUGAAAUUAUCAUAUUCUCAUUUAAUUUUUGUUUUGUUAAUAAAUAAGUUCAUUGAGAUGUUUUUGGAAUAUUGUUGUAAAACCCCAACAAAUUAUAAUUAAAAUUUAAGAGUACUGAGUGGAAAUUAUAUGUAGUCAAAUAUGAUCACAAGACAUAAAAAUAAAUAUAUGUAUGAGAAUUGGGCGAAUAAUUCUACAUGAUAAGAUUUUACUAUAAAACUGUUGAAAUAUAUUAAUAGUUUAGUUAUGAUACGGAAUUAUUAUUCAAUAAAUUUAUGUGUGUCAGUUUCUAUUAUAAAUUUUAUAUAUUUUCAUAUUACAAAUUUAUUUUGAUAGAGAAAUUCAUUAAAUACAAUCAAGUAAAUUACCCGUAUUGCGAUAUUAGAUAUCUUGAUCCUUAUUUUUCGCUUGGUUUUCUCAAUUUCAUUUUUGUUUAAUGUUGAUGAUUUUUUUCAUUGUUUUACACAAAUGAUUAUUGGGUUGUUUAAUUAGAUGUGUGUAUAAAUUUUUCAAUUUAUAUCUAGAAUUUUUUUUAUUGUAAAAAACACAUUGAGGAAUUCUGUAUAUUCUUUUUUUUUAUUAUGUUUUGAUGUUUAGGAUUUGAUGUUUGUUCCCGUGAUUGUUUUUAUUUUUUUCCUUGAAUAUUUUAUGAAAGUUUCAUUAUUUUCAGUUUCACCUUUCAAUCCAAGUUUAUAGUGUAUUUUUUUUCUUUGUCCUUUUGAUUUUUGUCAUUUUGUUAUGUUUUUAUUCUUUUCAAUUUAACUCUCAAAUGCAAAAUUUGUUGUUGCCUUUUUAUUUAGUUUUUAUUGCAAUUUUAACAUUCAUUAUUUUUAUUAUAUUUUUUUAUUUUAGAUUUUUUUGUGUUGUUUUUUUGUUAUUUUAACCCUCACGAUUUUUUUAUAUAUAGUGCUUUCAGUAUUAUAACCUGAGUCAUGGUUUAAAAAGUUAACAUUAAUUGGUCAAUUUGUAUUCUCGAUAGAAAUUAGAGGAAAAGAUAUAAAAAAAAACCCCUAACAUGGCCAUCUUAGGGUUUGUAUGGGAAAAAAAUGGUCAUAUUACGAACUGAAAUGAGGUUUGGUUGAGUUGAUGAAGUGUCUUGUUAAAGGAGGUGAGGUGACUAUGACGUAAAUGAAUUUUAUUGCUUGAACAAAUAUGUUGUAUUAGAUAAAUUGUACAAAUAAGAUAAAUCACAUAUAUUAAUCGGAAAGAUAAUUGAUUUUUCAAAACUAAAAUUGUUAAGUUAGUGGAUUAUACUCUUGCAUAAAAAUAAGAUGAAACAUUGUUCAUGUUGUAUAAGUGGCGUAAUGACUAAUACUAACUUGCAAGUGAUAGAGAUGGGAUUAAGGGGGAAAAUAAAGUAAUUUAAGUGGAAGAACUUAAAGGAAUAAAGAUAGUAUGUUUCAGCCUUUAGUAAGCUUUAAAGAGGACUUGAUUGAGAAAUGUUAUAAAUGGGUUCACAAGAAAGAAAAUCCACAAAAUAGCUAUGGUUUAAGGGUAACAAGAGAUUAUGAGUUGAAAAAGAAUUUAUAUAUACACACAUUGAUAAGUCACGACACAUAAUUAAAGGAGGACAUAACGAAAAUAAUGACAAGACCUUACUUGAAUUCAAAUAGAAGUAGGGAACUUAUGAUAGUGGUUAUCAAGUUCAUAGAUUGAGAACUUGACAGAAAUUGUUACUUAACUUCCAGAGGUGAUUAGGACUUGAAAAUGACUAAAUUAGAGAUAAAGAUCUUCAUGAAAGUUGUAGUUUAAGAUGUUAGCUUUUCAAAAAAAUUGACCUUGCUUAAUUUGAAGUUUUAUAACUCUAGAUAUGGAUUACAAACUGUCAAUGGGUGAAAUCAAAUCUUACUAGACAGAAUUGAUGACGUGCAGUGAUGGGUAAUUUUGAAUGUGUUCAUAACAGAACUAGGUCUUCCACCCUAAAGCAAAGUUGUAGAUUUGUAUCUUAUCUUUUCAAAGAGUUAAGUCAUGUUGAAAACUGAAGUCUAUAACUUUACUUAUGAUUAAAAUAGUAAGCAGGGCUCUUGAAUAAUAAUAAUAAUAAUAAUAAUAAUAAAAACAAAAACUGAUCUAGAAAAUGUUAUGAACCAAUUGAAGGAAUACAAUCGGGAAACGAAAUUAAUACAUGGUGAUGAAUUUAUGUGGAUGAAAUUGGAAUGGUAUGAGAAUGCUCGUCAUGGUCAACUUACGAGAGGUUACUAAUGGUAUCUCUUAAUUCCAAACAGGAGAGGCACCUGGAACAGGGACGACUGAAGGUUCAUGAACUCGGGUGAUUGAAGGAGCAGGUAGGUGUAUCACACCUCUUCUUUUCAAUUCACAUCAAAUUAAUGCUAGGAUAUAGAUUUUACGAAUUGCUAGUUAUGACAAGUUUUGUACUUGAAUAUGGACAUAUUGUGCACAAUGAAACUAGAUGGAUAUGUGAUAUGCAUGAUUUGUUACAAAGAUGUUGGUUGAUGAUAAAGAAUUGUUAAAUUGAAACUAGGAGGAGAAGUGAGAGGAAAUUAUCAUCAUAGUGUUAAUGAUUAAAGCUCUUCUGUGAAGAUACUUAGUUCCGUAACUAAAAUCGCAAUAGGAAUAGGGCUUGGCAACCAUGGUAACGAGGUUAAAGUCAGAUUAUGGUUUUGAUACUUAAUUACUAUGAUGAGUAACUAAGGAAAUGAUAUAGUUGGAUACUUAGUUCCCAAAAGAGGGACAACUAAGGUUAUGGUGUUAAUACCAAGUCAUUGUAAGAUUGGUGACUAUGGAUUCAGCGAAAUCGAUGCUUCAUUAUCAAAAUAUCAAUAAGUAAGGAAGUAAAUAUCGAACAAGAAUUAUUGGUAAUAAAGAAAAUAAGCUAUGAACAUGAAUCAUCAAUGAUGAAGGAAUUAAAUUAUAAGUAGGUGUUCUACACCUACAUCCUUUUUAAAUGUACAUAAUAGUGAAAGUUUGUUUAAUUUUUGGAUUAUAUAUAUAAAUGCUGCAAAAAAGAAAAACAUUUAAUGAAAUAGGUAAGAAAUGGAAACAGACUUGAUUAACUAUUCUGGUUAGGAAUAGUUAAUGAUAUCAAUGGAUUCCAUUGAUAUCGGCAUUUUCUGGAUUUGAUUAGUCGGUCCCGAGUACGGGAGGCUAAUGGUGUUAGUAGGGUUUACUAACAUCGGCAUGAUCACCCUAGGACAUAGGAAGAUAUUGAACUUGAUUAACUAUUUCGGGUUAAGAAUAGUUAAUGAUAUCGAUGGGCUACAUCGAUAUCGGCAUUUCCUUGAAACUUGAUUAGCUAUUCCAAGUAUGAAGGCUAAUGAUGUCAAGGAUCCUUGACAUCGACAUUCCUGAGGAUAUUUCAAAGUACUAUUAGGACUCGACCGACUAUUUUAUGUUAAGAAUAGUUAAUAAUAUCAAUGAGUUACAUUGAUAUCAACAUUCACGAUAAACUUGAUUAGUUGGUCCUGGUAAGGGAGACUAAUGAUACUAACAGGAUUCAUUAGUAUUGGCAUUACAAUCCCAAUGUUUUUGGGAAGAAAAAAAGAUUGAUUGACUAUUCAGUGAAGGAUACUUAAUGAUGCCAAUGAAUUGGUAUUGGCACUUGCUUGAAGAAAUUGUCCUUCGAUAUUAAUAUAUGAUAUUGGUUGAAAAUUAAAACACACAAGUUGUUUUUUCGAUAACUUAAGAUUUCCCCGGGGAGACUUUGUCAAAAUUUUAGUAGAAAUUUAGGUGAAUUUUUUCAAAAAAAAUUAUCGUGUUUUUCCCAUGUUACAAUUGUUAUGUUGUCUCGAUAAUUAGAAUGUUACAAUUAUGAAGAUAUAUUUCUAUAAUAUUAGCAAACAUUCAUCUUAUGUAUUGAAUUGUUGUUUUUUUUCGCUUUGUUUUUUAUCAACAUCUUAUUUUCUAAUGAUAUUAUUAAAUUAAUAUAGUUUAUUAAACUCACUCGAGCCAAUUAUCUUAAUAUUAUAUUUUUUUUAUUUUAAAAAAAUUAUCUUUUUUGAUAUUUUAUAUCAAAACAAAGUUUGACCCGCAUCGUAACGGACCAGCACUAUCUAAACAAUGAAAUUCAUUGCAUUUUUUUUAUAAAAAAAACAAACACAUGCUUUGUCAUCAGCCUUUUUUCUAAAGGCUAUAAUACAUGAUAUAUAUUCAUAAAAAUUUUCAUGCAAGUACAUAUGACAGCUAUAAUAUAUUUCUAUGUGAAAAAUAAUUUUUUUUAAACAUGACAAUAAUUAUAAACUCAAUACUAUUAAUGAGUACCCAGGCAAUUUUCAUUAUGACAUUUACUCACAAACUUUGCAUCUAUUAAUAACAGCCGUUAUAUAACAUAACAAUCAUUGUUUAAUGAAACUCCAGAAUCAGAUCUCCUCAUAGAAUUCCAGCCUUCCUUCGCCCGGGAAUGGUGACAGUUGUUGCCUACUUGCCUGCCUUGCGCAGCUUUGCUUUGAGUCCUUUCCUCUCUAGAUCUGACCUCGCCCAAGGGAAGGUGUAGGUAGCAUAGCGAGAUGCUUCACGCAAUUGCGCGAAAGACCACCUAAGCUCAAGCAGCAGAUACUACCACAUACAGGAGAAGAAGUUAUAGCUCCAGCUAUAGCGCUUAUUAGGAAUUGUCCAAUUCAAUGAAUUCCAGGGUACAAUUGUUUUGGGUCCUGACCGCUUAGAGUUGGGUCCUGCCCCCAGCAGGACCCAACAUAGCUUUGGGUACGGUUGCAUCCGGACCCAUUAUUAUCGGGUCCUAUUCCAGCAUGAUCCAAUAGAGUUUGAUUCUUCUCCCAGCAGAAUUCAAAAUAGCUUUGAUCCGGCUGAGAGCAGGACCCAUUCGAGUUGGGUGCUGCUGGAAGCAGACCCAUUCAAGAUGUACGAAGACCAAGCUGCAUAGAGCACACUCGCAUCAAACCACUUGUUAUCCACUAAUUGAAGACAUGGGAUAAAAAGAGAAAACCCAUUUGACCAUGUACAACAAUUUUAAAAAAAAUGAAGAACAAAACUCCAUAUCUCUAAUACCAAAAACCAAGAAAUUAAACUCACUUGUAACAAGACCUUCAAGAGCUCUGGCCCUGAGUUGCAAGAAAGGAAGAACUGAAAUACCCAAAAAAAGAACAGCUCUCUUCUUGCUGAAAACAAUGUCCUUUGGAUCCUCUUGACCCAUACAAGCAGAAACCACUCUCCUCCUCCCGGUCAUUUCAUUAUUAUUGCUGUUCUUCUUCACAUGAAAAGAAAGAGGUUGGGAAGAAGAAGAAGAAGAAGAAGUGGAGGAAGGAAAGUGAGAGUGUAAAACAUAAGAGAUUCCCAUUGAGAAGCACGUGGUCAUGGCUUUGUGUUCGGUUUCUUGAUUGAGAAUUUGUGAUAGAAAGGAUCGGUGCUGUGGUUCAGUGGGUUCUCUUCUCUUGCCUCUCUACAGUGUAAGCUUUUGUCUUUCUUCCCGUAUCGUGUUAUUUUUACUUUCGGCACACACAAUGACGUUAAUGCCCUUCCAAGUUGAAAAACAAUUGCCAAAUGUGUAUGCGAUCGGCUGCCGCUGCUAGUUAUGGAUGGCACUUGGCAGCAUCCGCUCAAAGGAAACAAUGUUCGAAUUAGUGAUAAAUAAAUAAAUAAAUAUAUAUAUGAAAGGAAACAAAAUUUAUAUUGAAAAAAAAAAGAUAUGUGUGAUAUUACAAGAAAAAAAAUCAAAAUUAAUAUAAAAAAAUUCCUACAAUAACAAUUCAAUUCAAAUUUAUUAAUCUAACUCUUCCAUUGUAAACAAGUUCACCAAUUAACCUUCUAAACUUAAAAAAAUCAUAAUUAUAAAAAUUAUUACAUUUAUGAUUGAUUAUUUAGUCAAAUAAAAAUUGUUAAGUAAAAGUAAUUUCAAAUGUUCAUUUUUUAAACUAAAAAAAAUUAGAGAGUUGCUUUUAAAAAGAAUAUUUUCCCCUUUUAUAUGCAUGUCAACAUUAUGUAAAGUGAGCAGUAAAAUCCAAUAAUUAGUACCACUCUCUUUGAUGAAAGGAUAUGGCAUGAUAAAAACAUAUUAUGAUCUAAUAUUAAAAAAAAUACAUUAACUUUUUAAACAACAAGAGGAAAUAAAUUAUGAAAAUUCCAAUAUGAUAUUGGUUGUGAAUAUUGAACUUUAUGUCUUGCUUAUAAGACACUAGUUCAUUGGUUCGCAUUACGCCGCGGGCCGGAUAAAUUUUUUAAAAUAUAAAAAAAAAUAUUAAGAGCAUGAAGAAUUUUUAGGUGUAUGCACGAGAUUCUGUUUUAUUAUAUUAUUUUUAUUUAAAAAUAUAUUAAAUUAAUUUUUAAUUUAAAUUUAAAUUUAUUAAAAAAUAUUAUUUUGAUAUUUUUUAAAAGUAAAUACAUCAUGUUUGAAAAUAUGUUAAAAGUUGCGUUUUGAGUUGUUUUUUCUCUCGAAAAUAUAUCAAAAUAAUUUUUUAUUUUUUAAAAUUUAUUUUUUACAUUAACACUUUAAAAUAAUAAAAUAAAUACAAAAAAAUUAAUUUUAAAAAAUUUUAUUUUCAAAUUUUAAACGAACAAUAUUUUAACCGCAUUUUCAAACACACUCGUUAAAAUCACGUAGAAACCAUAGCUACCACAAUCCUAAAGAUGAUCUUAGUAUGCUACAUAACAACUAGUUAUUCAAGUCCAACUAAAUAUUAAAGAUAUAUAUUUUAAUUUAUAAAAAAAAUAUAAAAAAAUAUAAAAUUAUAAUUUUUAUGUGAAACUAUAAUUUUAUAAUUUUUCCUAUUUGAUUCCAAAAUCACGGGUAAAAUGUGCAAGAAUGUGCGUGUGUUAAAGAGAUGCUGAUAACCGAAAGAUAAGUCUUUUUCCUAUUUGUUUUUGUGUCUCUCUCUGAAACAGGAAAUAUAAAAGUGUUGAAGGUAGGGUUUUGUUCCCAUGGUCGGCGUAUUAAUGGGCUUUAUAUUUCCUGAAUAGUUGAUUUCAGAACCAUAAUUAUAUUUCCUGAAUAGUUGAUUUCAGAACCAUAAUUUCUAAUUUUUAACACUUUUAGCCAACAACUAGGGUUUGCCCCUAUUCGACAACCCCGCCCGAGAGAAUACAUUGGAGAUUGCAAGUAUAAAUAAAGUAUAUUUUUAUUGGAACUUUUGUAACUUCUACCUGAAAUCCUAUUUUAAAUUUACAAUGGCCGUGCAGUUGCCAGACGACAUGAUAGUUGAAAUUCUAUGUCGAUUACCAGUAAAGGUGGUGAUGAGAUUGAAGGUUGUUUCAGAAGCAUGGCAUCGUCUCAUAUCUAAUGUUUGUGCCCCGCUAUUCUCGGCGGCCGCCGCGGCCCAUCCUUCAGGCUUUUUGUUCCUAUGUUCUUUUCAAAUAAUUGGUGGGUUGGGAUACUUUGCUGCGUAUGCUAGCUAUCCCGAUGUUCAUGAUUGCGUGGGCCAGACCGAUGGAUUUGUGGAUUCGUAUGCUUGUAUGUUGCCCUUCAUGCUUUCUUCCGAUCAUUAUUUUGAUUGUUGUAAUGGGUUGCUCUUGUUUGUUAGAAGAGAGCAACGAGAGGCUCUUCCGCAUUAUUAUUUUGUUUGCAACACCACUACCAGACAAUGCGUUGCAAUUCCUAAUCCCCGUCCACGAACUGCUCCAUUCGCCGCUGCAAUUGCCUAUGAUCCUGCCAAAUCUCCUCACUACAAAGUUGUUCGGUUUAUUUAUUUGGAAGAAAAGACUUCUUGCCCGGUAAAGCUGGAUAUAUUUUCUUCCGAUACCGGAAAGUGGGUUAGGCGCGGGGUCAUGUUAUCCACCGAACUUCCUCAUGCUGCUGCUGAUGCAGAUGAGUAUGGUUGUAUCAGGCGUUCUAUUUAUUUGGAUGGAAUGAUUUACAAGCUAUCCUUUGUCGUCAACUACCUCAUCAGGUUUGACUUAAAUGCGCCGAGCGAUGUGGCUAUUGAACUCCCGCACAAGAAUGCCGCUGACCGCCAUGGAUUCAUUGGGAUGUCUAGAGGAAGCUUGUAUUAUUCAAAUCAAGACGAGUCUGGAUUGAUGAUCUCCAUUUGGCUUUUGGAAGACCGUUGCAAACGUGAUCCUUUUUGGAAACUCACACAUAACAUCUCAGUGGACUCCUUGACGUCCAAAUAUCCUGACGUGCGUAAUUCAGGCUUUCAUUUUCAUACAUAUGCUAUUCAUCCAGCUUCUGAUAUUAUUUUUCUUGGAAACCCUACCAUGGUCAUAAGUUACGAUCUUAAAUCCAACAAAUCCGAAGAGGUUUUUACAUUGUCUAGCGGAUUACAAAUAUCAUCGGGCCAGCAUUUUGUACACCUCUACUCUCCCUGUUAUGCUGUUUUGAGUAAUUUUGAUAAUAAUUGUGGUUAAUAGUCCAGUUGCAAGCACUCUUUCUAUAAAAACUAUUUAUCAGAGCUCUCUGACAUGGCUAGUUAUGGAAUCUAAAACUUCAGGAAAGCUGUCUUGCAUUGAUGCUCUGUAUUCUAUUUUUUGAAUUGACGUGCUGGUUUGAUUAAUUUGUUGUAAGCUAAAACUGCUAAUUCUUCGCUUAAUUUGUUGUUUAGGAUACAAACUUCUUCGGCAUUUGUACUCUAUAUCAAUCAACAGAAGAAAAAUCAACCAUUUCUUCAAAAUAUAGACUGACAUGGAUUUGGGUUGCGAUUAACAGACAAUAUUGAUGAUCCGCCAUGGAAUAAAUACAUACAAACGUGUGUGUGCAUGUUGGCCUACGUUUCCUAUCCACAGAAGAAGAAAAAACAUAAACAUGUUCCACUGCAAACAACAAUAUUAUUUCAUUAAAAAUUCCUAUCCAACAAAUAGGAAUGAUCAUAAACAAUUAAAUGUCCAUUUCGUCCAAAUAAUCCUUGCUUGCUCAUUUAAGUCAAGUCGCAGCUAUUUCAGCUUCGGUAUGCGAAUUCUUAUCCAAAAGACCAAAUGUAUAAUGGUGGAUUCCAGGUUUGCUGGAGAAAGAAGCAGCAGAACCCAAAAUUUAAAAAGUCAAAGUUAUAUGUUGAGGUCAAACCAAGAAUUAAAAAUGGUAUGCCUCUGUGUCAAUGUAAUGCUUUCAAACAAAUAGAAUGUCAAUUAACAACAAUUUUCAGGAUGUUCGAAGCUUGAAUGAAGGUGUGACUGCCUUCUUGUCCUAGUUGUGUUGGCAUAAACUUAUCAUUUCUUCCCUUGUUUCCAUGCAGAUUUAGAUUCUGCAAAUGUUUGCAGCAUUCAUUCUAUCAAACAGCAACAUGGUUUAAUUCCUUUAGACCCAUUUCCCACCAAAUUUUAACCUAAAAGCACAGGUUUUCCAGCUUGAUCAGGGACCCCUCCUAUUGUGAAUCUUAACAGUUGAGAAUUGAAGUUUCUAAAUAGUCUGUGAAGUUCAACAUAGCAAGGCAGAAGUGUAAAGGGGGAAUAAAAAGACUGGCAUGCAAAUCAAAACUGCAAUUUUUUUAUGUUCAGGAAAGAGGAUGCCACUCACUGAAAUGGUCAACAAGUACUUCCACCAUUUUUGACAAUUUGGGACUAUGUGCACCAUGAGACAAGCUUCGUUGCAUUAAAAGCUUCACUUUCCUAAUAUCUUCAUUUUUACUCAUCAGUCUUGCAAAUGACCUGCAGCAAUCAAGUUAGAUCAGCUCAAGCCAUCUGUAUAACAAAAGGCAACCUAUCAAUGACCUUUAAUACUGCAGCAACAUUAAAUAUGUUCACAUUAAAAAAUUUCACCCAUCAGCCUAAGCACCAUUUGGUGAAAUUCAGAUGAUCAAAUCAAAUGCCAUAGCCAUUGUCAAAUCAUCAUACAGGGCAUCUCUACUUGGUAACCUGAGGGUAUGGGCUUUCAGUUAGAGAAGAACAUUAAAUCUUAAAGGAUCUUUUGCAAGGAGAACUCUUUAAUUCAAAUCCUCAUAGAAAUAUUAUUUUUCUCUUUAAUGCAAAUAUUACUUCUUCUGAUUCUACCCUUAUUCUUUUAAAGAGAUAUACAGAUAAGAUUUUAAAGAGCUAAGAUAUACGAACAGAAUUGGUUUUCACUUUGAUAACCAUCAGUCAUGCUUUGCAAAAUAAUUCUGCCGAGGCAGUUUGCCACAUCAGAUGAAUUGCUACACAUCAUUUUGCCUCUGUUGUAGUGUUUGAACAUAUCACACUUUGAUAAAAACAACAUGGCACUCCGACAGACAUGAAGCACCUCACUGCUCGACAAUCAGACUUUAGACUGAACACUUGACUGCCAUGCAGCCUCCCUGAAGUAAAAUUUGUGAUGGCAAGCAUUUUGAUCUGCACAAAGCACACAGGAGGAAACAGACAUAUUAUGGAUUGCUGAAACUAUUGUACGCUGAUAUUGUCUGCUAUUCGUCCUAAAAUGGAGGUUUAGUUAAAUGCAUCAAACUUCAAGUUUAGGAAGUUGCUCUGCACUGCAUACAACUAGCUUUGGGUUUGAAAUUUUACCCUGCUUUGAACAUUCCUAAUUCAGUGCUAUCGCCUAAGCUCAAGCCUCCUCUGCGCCAUCCUCUCCAACAGCUUCAAUCUCCUCCUUAUCAACAUUUUUCCUAGUCUCCUGCUCUUCUUUAUUGCCUUCCACAGACUCAUCGCACUGCCAAACAUAUUUAUCAUAAAUAGAGAAUCAAUGUCAUAUGAAAAGUGCAGUUACUUAUACUUCAAUAACCCAACUGACAGGCAUAGGGCAGGCAUGCAUAACGAGCAUACCUCGAAGAGGAGAGAGAGAUCCUUUGACGAAAGCAAAGAAUGAUAUUAGCUAGUAUUUGAUGAAGUAAAUAUGAAAAUAAAAUGACAGUCCUAUAAAAGGUUGGAAAAAAAAAAACAGUUGACGAUGCCCUUGGAGUUGGUUAAUAUAUUACCUGAACUAGGGCAAAACUUCUUCAGCAGAAGGACAGUCAUCAGGGUUUACAGACAUCAUGUCCGAGAUAAGAGAUUUGAGAGGUUUGUACCGCUCAUUUUCCCAAUCAUUCGGAAAUUCUAUGCUUUUCAAUUUAUCUAAAUUCUAUUUUCUUUCUGUGCCGGAUAUUGUGAGGGUGCAGCAGCAUGAACACAAUAAUUCAUAAACUGUAUAUAUCUGCUUUUGCAUCGAUGGAGCCUUUUAAGUUUUGUUUCCUUGAGCGUCAACUUGAAUUUUUUAACUUUUCUUACAAAAUACCGUUGCCAAAAAAAAAUUAAUAAGAAAUAAACAAUCAACUUGGAACAAUAAAAGCUAAGAUUGAUCAAGUUAGAUUCACAUUCAAAUUUAAACUGUUCACUAAUUCCGAAAUCUUCUAUUUUGAUCUCCUUCUCGUCCUGGAAAGCUCCCACAAAAAUGUAUUUUGUGGCAAGGUCUCAGUGAACAAAUUGAUUUGUAUGGAUGAAGCGUAAUCCUUCAACAAUUUGUCUGGCUAUCAAGAAGCGUCUUUUGAGAUUAGUCUUUGUAGAAAGCAGAUCAUGAAAAGUCUUGGUGACAAAAUGAGAUUACUGUAAGCGAUUGUAUAUAAAAAGAAGAAAUGCAUAUCACCUCACAUUGGACAGCACUCCAUCUGUAUAAACAACUCUUCAUGACAUGCAUGGCUCAAGUUCUGCUGGUCUAGAUCUUGCAGAGUUUGGUAUUCAAUAUUCUAUAUCUCUAAUCUCUCUUUCUCUGUUUUUUUUUUUCCAAAUGAGUUUAGAAGGCAUGUUCUAUGUAAUCAAACACAACCUCUCUCUGCCCUUCCAAAAUACAGCUAAAAGACAUGUUCUUGAGGAGAUUAAAUGUCUAGGUAAAACUUACGUUGUUCUUGUUUUUCAUAGUUUGCUUGUUUUUAGAAUAUUCUUAUUUAUUUUUUUGUACAUAAGCCAUGGUACAUAUGGAACAGUAAUGAAAUGUAAACAUAAACUUGAUCAUAUAAAAUAUGUUGUAAAGAGAAUCAAAGUUGGUUACCACGACAUAAAAGUGAUAUUAAGGUAUUAAAUCUCUUUUUUUUAAUUUUAUCUGUGUUAUGUUGUGUUGUGCUGUGUUGUUUUAUUUUAUUUUAAGGUUAGGUUUUAUAACUCUUUCCUCUAAUGGGUGAUUAUUACAUGUUAAAAGAUCUGUUAUGUUGUAAUGUGCAGAGAAGCAUCUACUCAUGCUCAAAUGCAUCACAAAAAAUACCUGAUGGUAGCGCACAAUAUUUUUGUGAUGCAUCUUAGCAUGAGUAGAUGCUUCUCUACACAUUACAACAUAACAGAUUUUUUUUAGCGUGUAAUAAUCAACCAUCAAAUGAAAUAAAACAACACAGCACAGCACCACAGCACAGCCCAGAUAAAAUCAAAACAAGAGAUAUCUUAAUAUAACUUCUCUGUCAUGGUAACUAAUUUUGAUUUUUUUUACUGCAUAUUCUAUAUGAUCAAGUUUAUGUUUACAUUUCAUUACUCUUCCAUAUGUAGCAUGGCCUAUAUAAAAAAAAAUAACCAAGAAUAUUUUAAAAACAAGAAAACUAUGAAAAACAAGAAAAGCAUAGCACACAGCACAGCGUAAGUUUUACCUAGACAUUGAAUCUCCUCAAAGUCCUCCUUGUAUCGGCGGUCAGAAAUCUUUUGCUGAGGACUCUCUGAAUCAGAGCUGCUGUCGCUGUCGCUGCCGCUGCCGCUGCCGCUGCCGCUGUCGCCUCCAAAAAACUUCGAUGUAAGCUAAAAUAACAAGGCCAAAACUCAGUUUAAUUAAAUGUUUCUAGCUAUUUAAAAACAGAGCUACUGCUAUUUUAUCUUGUUCUCUCUCACCAUUGCGCUGUUUUGGACAGUCUCUAACUAGAGAGAAAAGGAAAGAAACAAAAGAGAAAACGAUUUAAAACAUAUGCUCUUCUCACCACUCCACUGUUAUAGUGCGAGGAGAGGAUUGACUCAGGCCUUUUCAUUCAGUUACAUAACAGCUGAGAGCGUGCAAUGGUCCCCUUCGCCUAGGGAGCUGCUACCUGUACUAUAAAAAAAACAGUGUGGUAUACGGGACAUGUGGAGAAUGUUUUUCUUCCCCUUUUCCCUUCAUAUAUGUGAUGUGCUUGCUGUUUUUUUAAUGUUGUCACCCAUAAAUUAAAUUAAUUUUCUUUUGUCUUUCAUUUAUCAUGAUUUUACAAUUAAAAUUUAGUAUUAAUUAAUAGCAACUUAAUCCUAUUUACAAGAGAAAACUUAAACGAUGGGUUUCAUUUGACAAGUCAACUAAAUACUUAACAUCUGCAUUUGAACGGAAAGACUUCCUCAAGUAACAUGAGACAAGUAGAAGGACUAAAUUGAAAAAUAUUAAUUGAUAAGAAACAAUUACGUACGGAAGAAAAUAUUAACAGGACAAGAACCAAGUAAUAAUCGACAGCAAGAGCACACUCGCAUCAAACCACUUGUUACCCACUAAUUGAAGACAUGGGAUAAAAAGAGAAAACCCAUUUGACCAUGUACAACAAUUUUAAAAAAAAUGAAGAACAAAACUCCAUAUCUCUAAUACCAAAAACCAAGAAAUUAAACUCACUUGUAACAAGACCUUCAAGAGCUCUGGCCCUGAGUUGCAAGAAAGGAAGAACUGAAAUACCCAAAAAAAGAACAGCUCUCUUCUUGCUGAAAACAAUGUCCUUUGGAUCCUCUUGACCCAUACAAGCAGAAACCACUCUCCUCCUCCCGGUCAUUUCAUUAUUAUUGCUGUUCUUCUUCACAUGAAAAGAAAGAGGUUGGGAAGAAGAAGAAGUGGAGGAAGGAAAGUGAGAGUGUAAAACAUAAGAGAUUCCCAUUGAGAAGCUCGUGGUCAUGGCUUUGUGUUUGGUUUCUUGAUUGAGAAUUUGUGAUAGAAAGGAUCGGUGCUGUGGUUCAGUGGUUCUCUUCUCUUGCCUCUCUACAGUGUAAGCUUUUGUCCUUCUUCCCGUAUCGUGUUAUUUUUACUUUCGGCACGCACAAUGACGUUAAUGCCCUUCCAAGUUGAAAAACAAUUGCCAGAUGUGUAUGCGAUCGGCUGCCGCUGCUAGUUAUGGAUGGCACUUGGCAGCAUCCGCUCAAAGGAAACAAUGUUCGAAUUAGUGGCAAAAUUUAUUUAUUUUAUUUUACACGUUUAUAUAUAUAUAUAUAUAUAUAUAUAUGAAAGGAAACAAAAUUUAUAUUGAAAAAAAAAAGAAAUGUGUGAUAUUACAAGAAAAAAAUCAAAAUUAAUAUAAAAAAUUCCUACAAUAACAAUUCAAUUCAACUUUAUUAAUCUAACUCUUCCAUUGUAAACAAAUUGACCAAUUAACCUUCUAAACUCAAAAAAAUCAUAAUUAUAAAAAUUAUUAUAUUUAUGAUUGAUCAUUUAGUCAAAUAAAAAUUGUUAAGUAAAGAUAAUUUAAAGUGUUUAUUUUUUAAACUAAAAAAAAUUACAGAGCUACUUUGAAAAAAAUUAUUUUCUCCUUUUAUUUACAUGUCAACAUUAUAUAAAGUUAGCAGUAAAAUUCAAUAAUUAAUAUCACCCUCUAAAAGGAUAUGGCAUGAGAAAAACAUAUUAUGAGUUAAUAUUAAAAAAAAAAAAUACAUUAACUUUUUAAACAACAAGAGGAAAUAAAGAGUAAGAAAUUAUGAAAAUUCCAAUAUGAUAUUGGUUGUGAACAUUGAACUUUAUGUCUUGCUUAUAAGACACUAGUUCAUUGGUUCGCACUACAUCGCGGGCCGGAUAAAUUAUUUAAAAUAUAAAAAGAAUAUCAAGAGCGUGAAGUGUUUUUUAACUGUUUUAUUCAACCUUAUGUAGUAGGUCAAUUUUGAGAUCCUGCAAUAUGGCUAUUUGCAAGACUCGAGUUUCAAACUAAAUCGCGCAGAAGUUAGCCCGAAUUAAAUUGAUUGAUUUAAUGGAUCCAGAUGCAAUCUUAAUAAUUGGUAAAAACAUGACCUAACUUUUAAAAAAAUUUCAAGAUGAUAACUUUUUUAACAAAAACUAUUGAGACAAUGACAUAUUAAAUCAAUCUCAGUCCCCCAGCAAAUCGUGUCAUGAACUCCAUUGAGUUUACUAAAUUUUUUUUAUAAAAUAUAUAUUUUUUUAAUUAUAUGAUAAAAAUAUAUGGUAACAAAAUGAGCACCAACCUAAAAAUAAAAAUUUAUUUAAGACAAUGAUAACCCUAUAAAAAAAAAUCAUGCAGUUUUCCCUCCCAACCAAUCAAAUAUUAAAUGAUGCCCAGGCCCUAAGUAGUGUGGCAUAGAUUGCUUAUACUGUAGCUAUUUUGGUCCUGCACGGUGCUGCACCUAAAGCCAUUUUGGAUCUUGUGUCCAAAGGUGCUGGGUAUGACUACGUAGCCAUACCCAAGGCUAUUGAGUAUGGUUGUGUUGCCAGACCCAGUAGCGCGCCAUACACCCUGAGGGCCGUUCCCUACUAUGUUGUUGGUCAAAGUUUGCAGCUAUGACGUUGCCUUCUCUUCCCAGAGCUGCUGGGAGACCCCACAAAGUGUUUGACUGUGGGUUAUUGGGUCCUGCUGACACCAGGACCUCAUUUUGUUGGGUCCUGCUCAACCCUUUAAAGUUGGGUCCUGCCUCAAGCAGAACCCAAGCACUGGGGCCGUUGCCUUCUCUACCAAAAGACCCAACAGCAUUAAUUUUUUGAAUUUGUAAUUUUUAAAAUAAUUUUUGACAAGCAAGACCUGAGAAAUUUUAAAAAAAUUUAAUUAACCUUAAAUUAAUUUUUUUUUUUAUUUUUUUGUAUUACUUUUAAAAUAUUUUUUUAAAAAUAUAUAUUGAGAUUGUGUCUUGAAAUUUUUAAUUAUUUUUUUCUUGACUUUAAAUUUUGAAGACACAAUUUGAAUAUAUUUUUUAAAAGAAAAUAUUUAAAGAAUAAUAGAAAAACAUCAAAAGCAAAGGAAAAAAAUAAAAAGUUUUCAGGACACGAUCUCAAUAUAAUUUUUUUUAAAAGCAUAAUGUUUAAAAAAUCAAUAUAAAAAAAUCAAUUUCACUUAAAGAAAAAAAUAAAAAAUUUUCAAAGUUCCUAGCUCUUGCCUCGCAGUUAGACAAUCUCAAUUUUUUUUUUUAAAAUAACACAAAAACAUACAAAAAAAAAUAAAAUAAAAAAGUAAAUCAAAAAAUUAAAAAUUCUCAAAUUUCCAUGGUGCUAAUGGAAAAUUAGUCUUUUUUCAGAAGUGCAAGGCUAAAUAUAUAUUACAUGGCUUACAAACCUUUAUUCAUUUCCUCUUUCGAUUUGUAUCUUCUUCUUCUUCAUUUUGAUUAUUAUAAUCAAAUCAAUUAUGAUUAUUAUUGACAUGGUGAUGGGUCAUGGUUUCUACGAACCAACUCCAUUUAAAAGGUCAUCAUCACAUGAAUUACAACCCAAAAAUGGCAUAUGGUCAGAGAAAAAUACAGAAACCAGGUAAUAUAUGUACAUCCACAGAAAAGGGAAUAGUCAAAGCGUGCAAACAUACAAACACAUAUGAGAUUUAAUUGUGGCCCCCGAAUCCAUUUCUUAUGACACGGUAUUGGUUUUGCAUGAUUAAUGUAAAUGUCUUGAAUGAACAUAUAAAGAUUAAAGAUCUCCUUGACUGCAUAAACUAAAUAUAUACCUCCUUCGACUGAUUAAAUUUGUACAAUUAACUGCUUCAUUUUUUUCUGUACCACUUUGGCCAAUAUUAUAUGACAAACUGGAGAAAAUUAUAAAAUUUCUGCAACCCUUGAGUUUUGUGGAUCCUUGGUUUCUGCAACCACAUAAACAAGUUCCUCUGCAAACACCGAUAUAAUUAUUCCAUUCAAAAUUCCUAUCCAACGAACAGGAAUGAUCAUAAACAAGUUUCAUUGCAGGAAAAAAUCAUUAUUUUCUUCAAAAUCCAUAUUUACAAUCCAACACCAAUGCAUUUAGACAUUUAAAUGUCCACAUCAUCCAAAUAAUCCUUGCAUGCUCAUUUAAGUCAGAUCGUAGCUAAUUCAGCUUCAGAAUGCACAUUCUUAUCCAAAAGACCAAAGGAAUAAUGGUAGAUUCCAGGUUUGCUGGAGAAAGAAGCAACAGAAACUCCAAAAGACCUUUAACACUGCAGCACCAUUAAAUAUGUUCACAUUAAAAAAUUUCACCCCUCAGCCUAAGCACCAUUUGGUGACAUUCAGAUGAUCAAAACAAAUGCCAUUGCCAUUGUCAAAUCAUCAUACAGGGCAUCUCUACUCGGUAACCUGAGGGUAUGGGCUUUCAGUUAGAGAAGAACAUUAAAUCUUAAAGGAUCUCUUGCCAGGACAACUCUUCAAUUCAAAUCCUCAGAGAACCCCAAGUCCAUACAAGAAAGCUCAAUAGCCUCCCCCCAAUGAAAACUUUCAAAAGAUAAACAACAUAAUCUUCUGGCAUCGAAACAUUUCAUCUUUUACUAUAACCCCUUCCGGUCGAUAGAUAACAGUGAUAAUGGAGCGAAAAUGUACAUUGAAAGAAAUGUUAUUAUUGCCUGAGAAUUUAUUGAAUAAAGGAAAGCAGUAACAUUAACAUACUAGAGUUAACACAAUGAAGAAAAUUGAACGAAUUUGUAAUUUAUCAAGUCAUACAGUUUGAUAGUCUCUAUUAUGGAGAAGUCCAAGUGUAGAAAGCCUUGCCACAUAUGGACGCAUCACUUCCAAUAGCCGUU